CGCCGACGUGGAGACCCUCCCAGGAGGUUCUCGUGGCUGGGGUGGAAUCUUCGGUGAGGGGCUGCCUACCCGGAGAGCUACGGGGUCCCAUUUGCAGAGAUCCGCAGCGACAUGCCAAUGUCAUGUUGGUGGCAGAAGGCAAAGGUCAUGUUUACUGCAAGCAGAGGUGCCCGGAGCUGCCACGGGGGCUGCCGGCAGGGGAUCCUGAAGAGGAGCACGGCUGUGGCUGUGAAUCCACGCUUGCCUGACGCAGAGCCUCAAACCUCAAACCACAGGGCGAGGGAUCAGAGCUCAGGGGAAUCGCCCGGCGGAUCCAUGCUUUGUAUCUGGGCUGGAGGGCUACCCGAAACCGCAGCCUCCAGGUUGGAAGGGAAGGUAAGCAUCUCAUCCCAGUUUGCCUUGAUUCUGUGUUCUCCUGUCCUGUGAAACUCCUUGAUCCCAGGCAAACCUGGACGCUUGGUCACUGUACAGGCCAACCCGAGUUUGACUGGGGGAUGAUUAGAAGUAAAGUGCCUCAUGGACCAUUUGCUCCUAGGCUGACCCUCCCUGUCUUAAAGCCCAGGAUUUGGCAAAAGGGGCCUAACAAGGGAUAAUGGUCCUUGGCUUCAUUUCUCGUUAAUGGCUUUAAUUGGAGCUGGGGUUAUCUGGCCGGGAAACUUCCACCCAGCCUGCUGGGCAAAUCCCCUCCCCACUGGGCCAAGUCAUCAGGCAGAUUUGUGUGGGGCGGCAGGGACACAGCUUUCCCUUGCUCUUCUCCAGGAAGAAUCCGCGCAGGAUGCUUAGGGGAUGCCGCCGCCCAUUUGCCUUCUGGGGCAGACCCGUAGGACGAAGCUGGGUCUCCACCGACCCUGAUCCACCCGGAAAGUGAGGAGCUGUUGCACUCCACCCUGGAGCCCACCUCUGUGGCCCCUCUUGGACCUUGUCCUCAGCAUCAGGGAGAAGCUAGAACGGAGACUUCCAGAAAUCAGCUAGCCUGACGCAUCCGAGCCAAGCACUACAGCUUGUGACUGCCAACUUGCUGUCGGACAUUGGGGGGCAGCACCACAGCCUGUCCUGACUGGGAGGAGACACAGAUCAGCAUCCCCAGCGUCCUUCAGUCCUUCCAACUUCCUCCCCUGAGCUCUAGGCAAGGGUAAAGAGUGCUAAUGAGUAUCAAUAUUUGGGGAGCAUUCGAUAUACGUGUUUUAAUUGAAAGAUGUGGUUUAGGAGUUAUAGUACUUAAUUUCAGGCUAUUGAUUUACACGAACAUACUAUUUCUGCAGUACGCACUGCAUAACAAUACAUAAGCUUGCAGUUCAAGGAAGCCAGUGUUGUCUGAGUAUAUGAAUGUGUCAGUUUCCUAUUGCUGCUGUAACCAAUUACCACAGACUUAGUGCCUUUAUUAAACAACACAAAUUUAUUAGCUCACAGUUCUGGAAGUUAGAAGUCCAGAAUAGGUCACUUACUUUUCCCUACCCUCUAACCCUUAACAACCACUAAUGUGUUUUCUGCCCCUAUGGAUUUGCCUCUUCUGGAUGUUGCAUAUAAUUGGAAUCAUACACUCUGUGGCCUUCAGUAAAUAAAUGGCACCUUUCAC